rnacentral:lncRNA from 1 species
GUCAGAUGGACCCCACUCUUCUUUCUUCCUAGGAAGCUGGGCCUGAGCUUGACUGUACUCUCACAUGGAUUGUUUUGCUGAUAUCACAAAAACCUGACUUGCUUUUCCUGAGCCACAUUCAUAUUCCAGGCAUUGUUUCAUUCCCUGUUGAUGGAACAAACCACUUUUCCAAGAAAGCAAGCGGGGAGGCAUCAGAAGACAGCUACUGAAUGAUCCAAGCUGUGCUCUGGGCAGGCAAGUGAGUAAAGAAGGCCAGACUCUGAAGUGCCUUCUAAGGAAGCAGUCGCUCCUCCAGCCAGCAAACAGGCUUAUAGUUCAGCUGCAAGGAGGCAGGGGAAGAAAAGUAAUUUUAUGGUCAGAAGGCAGAGAGGGGCCAAGUUCGAGUGUCACCCUGAGGCCCAAGGCUUGGUUCCCCAAUCUGUGGCAUUAUGGGAAGGUGUGGAACCUUCAGGAGAUGGAGCCUAGUGGGAGGAAGUGAAAUUAUUCGGGAUGCACCCUUGAGCAGGACAUUGGCACCCUGGCACCUCCGCUCCCUCUCUCUCUGCUUCCUGGCCCCCAUGAGGUGAACAGGUGCCACACAUUCCCACCAUGAUGAACUUCCUCACCAUGAGCACAUAGCAACAGGGCCAGGCAACCAUGGACUGGCACCUCUGAAACCAUAAUCCAAAAUAAACUGCUCCACCUGAGUAGAAGAGAAACCUCAGGAGAGCGCGCCUCUUUCUCA